UGGCUGAAGUUAGUCUGUCUCUUCAUGAAAGAAUAUCUUUCCAUUUAUCAUUCUGGUUUUUUGUUUGUUAAAUGAAGAGGAGGACUGCUGAAGGUUCAACUGAUUUCUGUCACUUACUUUACUGUGAUGUUUUGCAUACCUGUAUGGGAAUUUUGAUUACAAAAUAUUGGUGGAUAUGUGGCUUUGUAUAUACAAUAUAUAUACCUUUUCCUUUUGGUAGAACCUGUCUUUCAACGCAUACAUUUUCUUCUCCAUUGAAUUUUUAUGUUUUAAAUCGUCUUUUGAGGCCAAGAGCAACCCACAAACGCUGUCGAUCUGUAUUCUAACUCGGAGCAACUCAGAAACGCAGACGAAGAAAGACUGAAUGAGGGAGGAUAUGUGACCACAGGAAGGGGAGGAGCUGCCACCUAUCUAAGAGAGAAACUAACUCGGACAAUUCCAACAAGGUCUCUGCGCAGGCGCAAAGCCCAAUUGUGUAAAGCACAUUGACUACGUUGAAGAACAAUACUGCUGGAACAAGGCAUCUGUCCACUUAUCUGCACUACCCACUUUGGACAUGGAGGGGCAAAAAUGUCUAAAGGCACAAACCUCUGGUCCUGAAGGAACUUGCUUUGCAGCCAGGAAAACUGUGGGAUUUUAAAACUAAAACCUGAGAGGCAUAAACUAAGUGAGAGAGUUAUGCCCAAACCACUGAGCCACAGAAUCAGGGAUUAUUGUAUCCUUUCAGUGUUCACCAGUGAAGAUGGCAGCACAUGAAGAAAAGGAAUUAAGGAGUCCAGAGUUAAUACAACUGUAAUACAUUGCAAUGGAUAUAUUUUAAGAGAACAGAUGUGGUAUAAUUAAUAUCAUCAGAGUUAGUGUGCUUAUCUAGCCAAUAUUUUUAAUAGAUAUUAUUAGGAAAGAAGAGCAGGUAGGGUCUGCAGGGAACAUUUGGAAGAUCAACAGCCAGGAAGGUGCGGAUUUCAAAAGCACUUGGAAAAGUAGAUAACUUUUAAAGUAAAGAUGAAAUUUCAUGGAGCAGCAAAUUAACUUUUAAGUUCUAUGAGAAAGUAGUGCAUACAUCUUAGCAGAGAAAUCUUUAUGUACAGUUACUGCACUGCUGUCUCAGAUUACUUUAAACUAUCACUUCCUGCAAAAAAAAAAAUUGGUUUCGUUCUUUUUAAGACUUCUGGAAUAUUAGAUUUUUGUAGACUUUGCUCUCAGUUCUUGAAAUUUCCUUCAUUCUUUCUAAGAAGUUCUAGUUCACAAACGCUUAUGACACAAUAAAUCUUUUAAGACUUUAAGGUGCCAAAAGACUGUUGUUUUUGUUGCAACAGACUAACAUGGCUAUCCCUCUUGAGUGUGUCCCCAGGUUGUACUGUAAUUCUGCAGGACUCUUAUCCUAUUUCCCAAUAUAGAGAUGAAUGCUGAAAUGCUACUGUCUUGUUAACAAAUACAUUAACAUUACUGGCAUAUAUCUUACAAAAUGAUUAAGAGUGAGAUGU